GGAAGAACCAGAAGCUGAAAGAUGCCAGAUCUGCAGUGGCAAAGCUUAUUUGAGAAAGUAGAAGUGAAGAGUGGGAGAGAAACUGGCUCUGCAGAGCAAUAUUGGACCGAGUAAAGAGAAAAAAGAGGGAAAGAACGAAGAUAAAAGUACACGCUGCAUCUGGGAAGCGCAGCGUGGGCUACCAUGGAAAGCUGUGAUAGUGCAUACUUUUAAUUUCUAAGACUCUAAUUGAUCCUUUAAAAAAAAAUACAUGUCCCUCAACAGCGGCUGUAUGUUCACCAGGUAUUGUUUUAUCUGUGGCAGCAAAAUACUUAUUUAAAAAAAUACUUGUAUACUAUCAUCUGCCUUCUAGAUGUAUGAGUUCUAUAUCCUUGGAUUCAAACAACUGCAGAUUGAAAAUAUUUGGAAAAAAAUUACAUCAGAGCACGUA